AAAGAGGGCAUAGCAGGCUGGAACCCUAGUCUGAACAGGAGCACUUCAUGCUGCAACAUUUAAAAAAAAAGUUCCAUUUAUAAUGCAUUUAAAUUUACUAGAUUUCACACAUUUUGGGGAGAAGAGAAUGGAAGAAUGUUAGUUUGGCUUCUGACUUGAAGUGAUUGUGGUUGCUUGAAGUGUUAGGGCAGGAGUGAAGAACCUUUCCACAUUCCCUUGGGAAUGUUAGAGAUGGUGUACUAGUGGGAAGCGUGAUGUGGUGCAAAAAUGAUUGACAUUUUUGCAGGACGGCCUAUCUCUCCACCCUACUCAGUUCCCUCCCCCCAUUUUUCUCCUCCGUUAAUAUAGCCUGAAACUGAUUGCUUGCCAAGGCUUCAACUCCUUCUGUUUGUUUCAACUCUGUCCAUUUACAUUUCCCCACUUCCCUCCCUCGUUCCCACUCUCUGGGUUGCCCUACCCAUUGCAAGGCCCCCCCAUGACUACCAUGUAGCAGCUACUUCUCUUUCUCCACUGCUCUUUUCUCUCUGUCAUGCACAUACACAAACAUGACAUGGAAGAGGAGUGGUCAGGAGAGCCAGGGUGGCUUUAGCACAUACACAGAGUCACAUACAGUCACCAAGCUGCUGAUUCCUUCCUUGCCACUGUGUUACGACAUUUCUGGCUUGUUAACCAUUUUGUUUGUAGAUUGCAUUAAUUUUUUCUUUCGUUCUGCUUGCUAAUAUUUUGACUGUGUUUUGAAAAAAAUUGUUGGGAACAUUUAUCUCUUGUGCUUUGUGAUGGUUUCAUCUUGUAAUAAUGUGACACCAUUGAAUGGCCUUUUAAAAUCUUCUACAACUGAUCAUUAGAUCAUUAGAUAUCAUUUUCAAUGCUUCCAUGCUUAAAUCAAAGUUGAAGGUUUGUUUUACUGAUAUUGAUUAUUCAACUGACUAGUUGAUAACUACUGAUUUAUAGUUUGUGGAGGAAUGAUUAAUUGAUUUGUUUAUAUCUGGUUCAGCUGGGAGAUGAUGAAAGGUAUAAAAACAAUACCUCCCAAUUUAGUUCAUUUUGCAACUAAAUUCAGUCAGAAAUCUGGAUCAAAACAUAUACAUGAGUCUAGUUCUAUUUUAACUCUUGAAAGAUAAAAUAUUUAUUUUGUCAGAUUAAUGGACUGGAAUAGCUUCAAAAUACUGAUAAACAAAUAGGAUAGAAAUGUAGCAGAGAAAAUAAAAAGUUAAGAAAUAAAAUUUAUUGGGGAAAAUAAUGCUAAUCAUGACAAAAUACAAGAAGAAAUGAAGGUUAAAGUGAAUGAAGGUUAGAAUGAAACAAGAACUGGUCAUUGAAGUUACAAGAUCGACUGGAAGAGUUAAAAAAUACAGUUAGAGUAAUUUUUGGAGAGAAUACCUGAAGGCUCAUUUGACAAACCAUGGUUCUCUUUCAUGGAAAUAUGAAUAUUGUCUUUCAUUCCUUUUAGGACUGAUACCAGAGCUGAGGCUCCUUUCUGUCAUAAAGCUAGAUAUUCUGGUUAAGAUAAAAGACUGCAUGAUACAUUGGUCAGAUUGCAUAAUGAUGUUUCAAGAAAAUCAAUGCAAUGUAUGGUUUGGGAGAACCUUUGAAAUGUUAUGUAACUCUCUUGUUCAAUUAUUAUCUAAUUCUUACGAUAUUCUCUAUAAGAAGAGUCAGUUAAAGCUUAUUACUUGAGUCUUACAAUGAAAAUCAAUUUGUGACAGGAGACAUUUCCCUUUUUAAGUUGAUUAUUUUUCCCAGAAUCACACUUUGCAUGUUUAAUCUUUAGCACAAGGAUAAAGAUUUUUGGUGCUGAUUUUUGCAAUAAGCAUCUAGCUUUCUAAAUCAGCUUGAUUCUGAAAGAAGAGAAUUUGAGGCAAAUAUAACUUCUUAAUUUGGGGUUGUCCUAGGAGCAAUGUUAAGAGGGGAGUUUCAAAGAAGGACAUUUGGUGAGAAGUCAUGAAGGUUUGGGGAUCAGUUUGUAAUGUAAGUGCCGGUAGUUGGCUUUGAACUGUGGAAUUAUAUAACAAUAUUUGGUCUGUACAUGUAAAUUGUGAUUAUAUCCUCUAGGUUCAGUUUGUAUUGAUUUUUGUAUUUUUUUAAUCAAAGGCUUGGAUCCCAAGUGUCCUUCCAUUUCUGAAAGGGCUUUCAAGGCAGUGGAAGUUCCUGUUGGUAGAAGGCAAUUUUGGCUACUUCCACCAUGCAGCCCCCACAUUCCAUCCCAACACAGUUGGGUCCGUCAACCCUCUAUAACAAAUAUUUAGAGGAUGGGUGGAUUUCAGCAGGGAGCGAAAAUCAGUGAAAACCAGCUCUUCCCCCCUUCCACCAAUAGAAGCAUCCCAUGACUGGAGUUUUGCUCGCUGCAACUCAGAAGUCAAUUCAAAAUAUUGAAAUUCCAUAGACAUAUAUAACAGAGAAUAAUGAGUGGGAAUAUACAAAUAUCAAAAUAAAAAUUAAGAUUUCCUAUCAUUCUGCAAAAAAAGAGGACUCACCUUAAAGUGAAUGUCAAUGCUGAUUUAAUUCAGUUAUCUAACACACAUUUAUACAAAUGUGGAUACAAAACAAGUUAAUUAGAAAAGGAGUAUAUAAAAAAGGAGAACUGUGCAAUAAGGUAAUUAGUAUGCAUCGUCAUAUCUGUUCAAAUGAUACUGGCAACAAAUAUAAGACUAAUUUCCCUAACAUGUCAGUAAUAUAAAAUACGUGAAGUAUCCAUAGAGCAACAUUAACUGUUUUGAUGACAUACUGUACUGGUAAUAAUGGCUUCAACAUAGAACUGUUCUGUAUUGGAGUAGAUGACCUCCAAGGUUCCUUUCAACGCUAUAAUUAUAUGAUUCCAUAAGUGGUUAAUUGUAUGGUUUAUACCUGGGUUUGGUAAUAUAAUUUACAUACAAAAAUAUGUGCUAAACAGACCCUUUAAGAAUUUAAAGUCUAUUCUGUGUUAGAAAGUACCUGAAUGUGUAUGUGUGUCUGUGUACAUUUGUGUUUGUGUGUGUAUCACUGUUACCUUGAGACAGUAUGCCAAGGUCAACUCCUUAUUCUUUGAUUAUGGACUGGUAAUCAAGUUAAAAUCUGCAGUGCCUUGUUUUCACUGUGUUUUGUCCUCAUAAUAUAAACAUGCUUACAUUCCUCUAAUAUUUGAUUUUUCUAAGCAUUUGACCACUUAUCCAAUACAUUGUGUGGGUUUUUUUGAAAGGCUGUUUGUAAAGCAUUUUCAAUACUGCAGUUUGUCUCAAAAUAACUACAGGUAAAGUGAUCUGCUGAAGUUUAAAAAAGAAUUAAAAAUGCAUCAUGUAUCCAGCAGACUGGAACGUUUUAUAAUGUAUCAUGUCAAAAUAUAAUUAGGAUGAGUGUAAAUUGAAUAUUGCAGGUAUUAAGAAAAGUAAUGGAAGGAUCUGAAGGCUUUCUUACAUUUGCAGAGAAGCAGGUCCUCACAUUUAUUUUUGUGUGAUGUAUGAAUUCUCUCUCAGAGGCAGGUCAGCCUACAAGCACAUGGGAAAUCCUCCUUCCCCUGGUGACUGAAGGCAAGACCAGCCAGGAAACAAAGGAGAUGAACUUUCCUCUUGUCUUCUACUUGUACACAGAUAGCAAAACCAAUCUUAAACUUACAUUCAGUCAAGAAAGGGAGGAAGCUAGCUGGCUAGGUUUUGUCCCCCUCCCCCAUGUUCUCCAUUCUCCUUUAGUUUAGAUGGAUCAAAUAAUAUUUAUAGUAAAGAAAAUCAAGGAAUGCAGGCCACUUCAUAAGUUAUGUGUGUAGUUUGUACACCUUAUGCUAGCGACCUUGGUCCAUAAGAAAAAUCAAAGCAUAUUAGGGCAAUAUUUUUAUUAGGCCAACCAGAAAAUCACAAAAGUAUGCAGGCUUGAAAGGUGAGACAAAUGUGCUUUUAAAGACACACACACACACACACACUGAUAUAAAACGAUGUGCUCAUACAAUUGAAUUCUAUGGGGGGAAAUAACGGUUUUCAACUGGAAAGACUGCCGAGAGGAUCAUAACUUGCUCUACUUGCUCUCCCAGGCAAAAACAGUAUUUAGGGAGAACAUUCUUUUAUUUACUAACUUGGUUUUUUUUUUAAUGGCUGCCAUUCAUUCCUAUAGGGGGAAGAAAAAAAAACUGCACUUUGGAACGCUGCUGUAAACUACCCCACACCCCUGAAAUUAGAUGGCUCAACUAAGAGGGAUCCAUAGAAGUGGUGCAAUGUUCAUCUAUGUGAAUUCACUGCGCUACUCUUGAGUUGCUGUGAUAUGGGAAUCUGUUUCUGCAUUGCCUGUUACAUUGACGGGCAUUUUUUGCCAGUCUAGAAUAAACAUGAAUACACCCUAGUUUUCCAUUCAGCAUAGAUUAGAACCCCCAACAUUAUAGUUCUGGGGGAAUAUUACCAAGAUCAUAUAAACAGAGAUUAAUUACACAUUAACACUCCUUUACUUAACAUUUUAUUUUCAAAUGUUAUUGGGUAAUGAAUGAUAAGGAAAAGAAUGCCCUUACUAGUCUUUCAUUGCACCUUUAUGAAGCCUUCUUAUUAUUUAAUAUUUAUAUGUAUUUGGGUUUUUUUAAAAAUAGAAGUGUUCACUUUUCUGCCAUUUAAAGUGCAGCAGGAGAAACAUGUUUUAUUACGUUUGAGUCACCAGGCUUAGGGGAAACCCAAGGUUUACCAAACAACAACAAGAUUUAUUUUUUUAAGGGAAAUAAUCCUGAAAGGCAUGGGAAGAACCACGAAACAGCUUAAUGAAGAUUGAUCAUGUUUUGUGGACACAGACUACUGCCUACAUUGGGAGAGGGAAAAUAGGAAGUGUGUAGGGUGGAAUUGGAAAGGGCAUGGCUGGCUGGCAUCUUGAACAGGAGCACCCCACACUGCAACAUUUUGUUUUAAGUCUCACCAGCAGGACCUAAAGUCUCUCCCUAUCUCUCUCCUCGGUUUAUAUACCCCCGUUAAAAGAAUUCUCAGCCACAUAACUGAAUAAUGUAUUCCCCAUUAAUGUUAUAGUUAGCAGUGCUUAAGGUUCCUCUGUGCUGUAAUCAGGCAUUCCCAACAGCAGCUUGAUGUCAGAUAGUAAACAUCCUAUUACAGAAAGCAGCAACUUAGGCCUGCAGUGAAUUUUCUGCUUUUUCUAAAAACAGGAACUAUAAUCCUAGAACAUUUCAAAAAACGAAAGAAUUUAAUUUCUCUCUUUCCCACCCCUUUUAAAGUUUAUUAUGGUUUAAGAUCUCAGAAUCCAAAUUUGAUGAACAUGGUGACAUUCCCAGUUUUAGAGCUGGCACUAUCAGGCAGCUACUGGACAUUCCAGUUGGCUGGUUGAAUCGGCUGGCAUGGGUGGGGUUGGGGGUAUAACCAAUUUGUCACAGAUCCCAACAUGUUGUCACUCUUCCUAAUUAAGUUAAUAAAACCUGCAAAUUAACUGAGGCUGUCUAGUUUGUUUUUCAGCCCAGAACAAAUCCCACUGCCCUGCUUUAACAUGUAUUUCCCCCCCUUCUUUGUUGUUCUCCUUUACCCUUACAAUUUGGUAACAUUUAUUAUGAUAUACACAACAGAGUUGCACCACUAAAUGCUCUUACUGUACUGGUGCCCACAGGGAAUUAUGCAAAGACUUGCAACCACCUGAUAUAAUUCAGAAGUUGAGUUUUAAGAAGUAUUCGUCUUGGGUUGUACUUUUCAGGAUUCAAUAGUCACAAAAUUGGCUGGCUCCAGCUUUCAUAUGACUUUGGCAAGGCAGUCUUUGUCUUAUAUAACUGGGUCCCUGGCUACUAUUAAAAACUUCCCUCAGUGCUCUGGAGAGAUCCUGUGCCAUGUGCUCCAUAGUACUGUGAGAAAUUUAAAAUGGCAGGCAGCUGCUAUACCCCCUAACUAGUGGUGCAGACUCAAGGUCAGCAUCAGCAAUGGGACCUGUUGGGGUGCUUGAGACCCGGGAGCAGCUGAAGGAUGACUGGUGCUGAAGUUGGCACUGACCACAAUCAGAAGUGUUGGAUUUGUCUUGAUUAUCUGCCAACUUUUCCCUUUUCUUGCGAGGAAUUCUAUUCAGAAUAAGGGAAUUUCCC